UGGGCGGGGCCUGGGCUUCGGGUCGGGCUGGCGGCAGGGGGCAAUAGCGGCUCUCAGUGCGCCGAACAUCCCGGCGCAGAAAUCUCCGGGUUGAGGCGCGGAGAUUUGGAGAGGCCGAGGGUCCUCCUCACACUCAGAUCUGACCCCGGCGCGGACCAGGUUGAAGAUUCCAUAGUGACGCUCCGUGUCCUGGAGCGAACAGGUCUCCGCCCAGCGCUCGGUGCCCCUCGCGCCCAGGCUGUAUCAGCUCUCCCGCUCUGCACGCUGCGGCUUACCUACGUGGUUAAAAGCACGCGCUCUGAGCUGAGACUGCUAGGACUGGUUACCGUCCCCAGCCCCACGAUCUUCAUCUGCAAGUGGUGGGUAAUCCUUCUGCUCUUGUUGGUUUGACCGCUGAAGGGUUUGACAGGGGUAGGGCAGCGCUGCCCAGUGGAACUUGAACUCGAGCCAGGUGAGAAAAACGAGGCCCAGCGAGAUUACGGAACCUGUCCAAAGUCCACUGGUGGCAUUUGAAACCAAGCCCUUUUAGAUCUUAACUCAGAACUCUGGUUGUUUCUGCAAGGCCUCUCACUGUUGUGGCCUCUCCCGUUGCGGACCACAGGCUCCAGACUCGCAGGCUCAGCAGCCAUGGCUCAUGGGCCUAGCCACUCCACUGCAUGUGGGAUCUUCCCGGACCGGGGCACGAACCCAUGCCCCCUGCAUCGGCAGGCGGACUCUCAACCACUGCGCCACCAGGGAAGCCCAGAUAUCGUCUUUUAUGAAGGACUGGUUCAAGUCUUUUUCUCCCCUCUCUGUUGGGUUGUUUCCCUUCCAGUUUUUACCAUUUUAAAAGCAGAUCAAAAAGGCAGACAAAGGAAACAGGGAUGGGGAAAAACUGAUUAAAGGUCGCUGCUGCAUAUCAGACACUGUGUAGACUUAUGUCAUUUACUCUGUGUGACAAUCCUGCUAAAUCAAUAUCAUAU